AGGCACGCAAAUUACCCAAUCCCAGCUCUGGGAGGUAGUGACGAAAAAUAACAAUGCGGGACUCAUCCGAGUCUGCGUAAUUGGAAUGAGCACACCAUUAAAUCCUUUAGCAACAACCAAUUGGAGGGCAAGUCUGGUGCCAGCAGCCGCGGUAAUUCCAGCUCCAAUAGCGUAUAUUAAAGUUGUUGCGGUUAAAAAGCUCGUAGUUCGAGCUCAGUUCCGGACUGGCCGGGGAGGUCACCGCCCGGUGCUUCCCCGUCAGGCUCCGAACAGCUUCCGUGAGUGGAAGCCAAGCCGGUUCUGCCGGGGUGCUCUUCACCGAGUGUCCCGUGCGGCCGGCCAGUUCACCUUGAAUAAAUGAGAGUGCUCAAAGCAGGCUACUCUCGAAUACAAUGCCCGAAUGUUACCUGCAUGGAAUGAUGGAAGAUGAUCUCGGUUCCAUUUUCUUGGUGGUGGGAGCCAGAGGUAAUGAUAAAGAGGGACUGUCGGGGGCAUCCGUACUACGACGCGAGAGGUGAAAUUCAGUGACCGUCGUAGGACGAACAACAGCGAAAGCAUUUGCCAAGAAUGUUUUCKUUGAUCAAGAACGAAAGUUAGAGGAUCGAAGGCGAUCAGAUACCGCCCUAGUUCUAACCCUAAACGAUGCUGACCAGCAAUUCGCGGUCGUUAUUCCCAUGACGUGGCGAGACGCCCCCGGGAAACCUCAAGUCUUUGAGUUCCGGGGGUAGUAUGGUUGCAAAACUGAAACUUAAAGGAAUUGACGGAAGGGCACCACCAGGAGUGGAGCCUGCGGCUUAAUUUGACUCAACACGGGAAACCUCACCAGGCCCGGACACCAGAAGGAUUGACAGAUUAAGAGCUCUUUCUCGAUUUGGUGGGUGGUGGUGCAUGGCCGUUCUUAGUUGGUGGAGUGAUUUGUCUGGUUAAUUCCGGUAACGAACGAGACUCUGGCCUACUAAAUAGUGGACGGGCGUUUUGGUGCAUGGGCCCCGUUCGACACAGUCUUCUUAGAGGGAUGAGCAGCGAGUAUAGCUGCAGGAGAUUGAGCAAUAACAGGUCUGUGAUGCCCUUAGAUGUCCUGGGCCGCACGCGCGCUACACUGAAUGGGUUAGCGGGUUGUCCUUCUCCGAGAGGAGCGGGAAAUCGCGUGAAAACCAUUCGUGAUAGGGAUUGGGGCUUGCAAUUGUUUCCCAUGAACGAGGAAUUCCCAGUAAGCGCAAGUCAUCAGCUUGCGUUGAUUAAGUCCCUGCCCUUUGUACACACCGCCCGUCGCUACUACCGAUUGAAUGAUUUAGUGAGGCCUUCGGACUGGCGGUCUUGGACUGGGGCGGCGGGUCUCUCCCAGCAAUGGGGUUCCGCCGACUCGCCUGGACGUGCCGGAAAGAUGUCCAAACUUAUCAUUAGAG
rnacentral:rRNA from 1 species